AAUAUUAGAUUUUCAAACCCCCACCAAAUUCACCCGCCCAAUCUUCCCUCUUCCUACAACCCUCAAAUUCUCAAAUCUUCCAUUUUCCUAAGAAUUCACAAAUUCUGUAACUCACUCCCACCUUCCUUAUCGUUCACAUUCCACACCCUUUCUUCCCUUCUGACCCAACCAAUUUCUAGGGUUUUUAUGUUGUUUAUGAAUUUUUGGGUACCUUGGUCGGCUAAUCGGAGACGAAUGUACCACCACCGCCGGUGAAGUUGACUGACUCUCUCUUUCACUCUCUCAUGUGCAGUUUGGCCAUGUCGGAUUUGACUCAUUUGUGAGAUUGGAUGGUUACAAGAGGAUGAUUGGUGGCCAUUUUUGCUGUAGAGAGAACAAGGGGGCUAGGGUUUGGGCAAAAGUAAUAUAUCUUAAGCUUCGAAGUCAGCUCUACAGACCUUGUCAUAGCGCAAUAUUAGCGUAUAGAUGAUUAUCGGGGUUAAGAAAGAGAAAGAAACGGGUGCUUUUUUUAGGCUGCAAGGGGCUGUGGCUAAUUUCUACAGCUUGCACUCAGGCAGCUGAAGGUUUUUGUCGUAGAAAUUCUGUACCAGUGGACUCAUUGUAUAGGAGAACAGAAGGUAAGAUAGAUUAUGUCUAUGCCCGUGUGAUGGAGUCGGCACAGCUUGCUGUGGAGGUCAUCUUUAGCAGACUAUUCGUUGGAUUUUGGCACUCCAUGGGGAUGCAGUUGUUCCUUUUGCAUUUGCUGGCGUAUAUUAAGGCAA